rnacentral:lncRNA from 1 species
UCCUUUUUAGAUUAGACACAAAAUAAAUAAAAAUGUCUUGUACUCUUAUGCAUUUAGGCGUGUGCACUGCACCCACCCAAAUGUAUGGCCUAAAGCUCUAUAAAUAUAUUUCUACACACAAAGCAUAACCGUAGUUCUCUUUCACACACACAAAACAUAACCUUACUUAUUUUUCUCUCCCUUAAAAAAACGUUCACAAAAUCACAAGCUUAAAUAUUCUCGCUUCAUGGCUGGAGGAGGUAAAAGAAGAGGACUUAGCAAAUCUUGUGCCCUUCUCAUAGUGAUUGCCGGGAUAGAGAGAUAUGCAUUUAAAGGAGUUGCAUCAAACUUAGUGACUUAUUUAACUGAUGUGGUAAAGAUGAGCAAUUCAAGAGCAGCCACGACUGUUAACACUUGGAGUGGCUUCACUUUCAUGUUGCCUCUCUUCUCUGCUCCUUUCGCCGAUUCUUACAGGGAAAGAUUCUUCACCAUCCUCGCUUCUUCUUCUCUAUACUUUGUUGUAAGUAUUACUAAACCAACCUUCAGAAAGAGUCGAUUCAAAUUUUUUCGCUUAACUAUAUCUUCCAUAUUGAAAUAUAUGUCUCAUAUGAUCUCUUAUCAAGUGGUCCCUUUCCUUUUUCAUAACAUCUUCUCCUUUUUACCUUUACGUUUAUUUUUGUAAAUCCAUAAAUUUUCUACGAAUUAGAGUUUAAAGUUCUUUCUCAAUUUUUUUUGUUUAUGAUGUGUUAUUGAUCAUGCGACCCUCUUUUUUGCGUAUUUUUAUUAGGUCUAUUUGCUUGACAACGGGAACUUUUAGGAAUUGUUACGAAACGUUUCUUAAGAUCUUUGUACUUUGUUUAUGUGGUUUGGUACUAAGCAUGUGAACAUUUCGAUGCAUUUUCUGAGAAAAUUAUUUUCUCUAACUAUUUUCUAAUCAAUCUUUCUUUUUAGAGUAUGGAACGUACGUUGCCAAUUAAGCACAUACUGUUGGUAAAGUUUGGUUCCAUAAUGUGAUUUUUCUGGAUCUGAUCAAAAAAAGUUAAGCCUAGUGUACAAUCAAACUCGUAUCAUUCCUCACUAAUCAUGCAUUAUAUUCCAUUACUAGAUCUUACACCACAGAAUGUUUAGCAUUAGUAAAAAGGAAAUAAACCCACUAUGUAAGUUUUAAGUUUUACCCUAAUUUUUCUUCAUAUGAAAAAUAGUGUUAUAAAAUCUGAACUUAGAUAGGAAAUUAGACAGCAUUUUAUUGGAAACUUAAUUAAAAUCAUUUAUCUUGUAUAUUACUAAGUUCUUAUUAAAAGUUUAAAUAUUUCUGACUACUAUUAUUUUAAUUCAUUUUGGAGAUUCUAUUAUUUUGCUAAUUAUGUAAGUUGCUAAUGUUUGGCAUUUUGUUGGGUAUAUGUAAAUAGGGACUAGUGGGAUUGACAUUGACGGCAUUUGCCGGGUCACGUUCCACUACUACAACCAUAUCUAUUUUCUUCCUGUACACUUCACUUAGCCUCGUCGCUCUCGGCCUAGGCGUCUUAAACCCAUCUCUUCAAGCAUUUGGUGCUGACCAGCUUGACCACGACCUUGGCCAUGACCAUGAACAAGACCAAGAGCCAUCCUCAGAGAACAAAGAAGUCAAAUCGGACCGCAAGUCUCAGUUUUUCCAAUGGUGGUACUUUGGUGUCUGCGCCGGUAGUCUUCUAGGAGUCACCGUCAUGGCUUAUAUCCAAGACACAUUUGGUUGGGUUCUCGGUUUUGCAAUCCCAACCGGUUCCAUGUUACUAUUGAUCUUCUUGUUCCUAUGCGGCUGCGGAGUUUAUGUCUAUGCUGAUCAGGGUUCACACCUAAAAUCUAGACCAUUUCAAAGGAUCUUUGAUACGAUCAAAGGAGUAGUGACGAGAAGAAGUAAGAUCACUCUUGAGAACAACCACGAUUUAAAUGCCAUGGAGCUAGAGUGAGUACUCAUCAUUAUUCAAUCCAUAAUAGACACAAAAUUUUGAUGUGCUUUUAGUUGCCGGUUUGGUUUAGUUUUUCGGUUUAUGAAAUAUUGAAGCUGAAUGGAAACCAAAUAAUCGGUGAGUCUGAUUUUUGGUUUCAGUUUAGAACCGAUUUUCUAGUAAAUUAAGUUUCAGUUUCAGGAUUGUUGGCAUAAGACAGUAUGUAAAUUUUAAAUGUGAUUUUUAAAAUAUUAAAUUUUUUACUAGGUUGCUUUUAUAGUACAAUUGGAUUCUUGUCACGGUUUGUUGGAAUACAUAUAUUAUUCCGUUUAUUUUGUUUCCGGUUUGGUUUAAAGAUCGGUUGACUCGCACUGAACACCCCUUUAAUCUUGCUCUUAUAUUAUUGUAUAUAGGCUGCAAGGGAAGCCUCUAUGUAACUGUAGCAACACUGAAGCUACUACCACUACCACUACCACUAAUACUAGUACAAAGAGCUUAGCUGGUGAUGAAAGCAGCAAAACAGGUUUCUCCAGCCUCAAAACCAUCAAGCUAUUGCUUCGGUUAUUACCCAUAUGGACGAUGCUUCUAAUGUUCGCCGUUAUAUUCGAACAACCAGCGACAUUUUUCACAAAGCAAGGUAUGGCUAUGAAGAGAAACAUCGGACCAAACUUCAAAAUCCCACCCGCAACGCUACAAAGCACAAUCACCUUGUCUAUAAUCCUUCUCAUGCCGUUAUACGACAAAGUCUUGAUCCCUAUGGCCAAGAAAAUAUCGAAAAACGAAAAGGGUAUUACCGUCAUGACAAGAAUGGGAAUCGGCAUGUUCAUAUCCAUCAUUGCCAUCGUUAUAGCCGCGUUAGUCGAAAGAAAAAGACUAAAGAUAAGCAAAGAGAUGAAGACUUCACCGAAUACUACAGAACCGUUGAGCAUAUUCUGGCUCUUACCUCAAUAUAUUCUACUAGGAAUCUCGGAUAUUUUCACGGUUGUAGGGAUGCAAGAGUUCUUCUACAGCGAGGUUCCUGUUAGAAUGAGAGCGAUGGGGUUUGCGUUGUACACGAGUGUUUUUGGUGUGGGGAGUUUCGUGAGCGCUGCGUUGAUAUCUGUGAUAGAGAGUUACACGAAGUCAAGAGGUGGGAAACAUAACUGGUUUGCAGAUGAUAUGUCGGAAGCUAGACUUGAUAACUAUGAUUGGCUUUUGGCGCUCACAAGCGCUAUUAGCUUUUUCAUGUAUAUUGUAAUUUGCAAGUAUUUUAAGAGUAGUAGUGAUGAGGAUGAGGAUAAAUGCGAUGAAACUAGUUGAUAAACUUAAAACAGCUCAAAAAUAGCUGUUUGGUAACGCUAUGCGAGUUGCAUCUAAUGAAUGUCAAGUGUUAACAAAAAAUCAUAAAUAUAUGGAGAACUAUAUUUGGUUUGACCAAAAAAAAAUAUGGAGAACUAUAUAUAUUCAUACAUAUCUUACACGUAUUAUUUAAUAUUACAUAACUGUAUAACAAAUUAAAAUAACAAAAAUCUUAAAACACUCCACACAAUUUGACUUUUGAUUUAUUAUAUAGUAUUUUUUUUUGGUAACACAAACAUAUUUCAUUCAUAAUUUAGCCAGAUACAAAGAUAAAAGCAACAUCAAAGACUGGAUGUGCGAUCCUAAUGAAAACGUUCAAUACAAGGCAGUAAAGAGAUAGAGACACAAGCUUAGAUAAACUUGAUAACAAGUUGAAAGAGUGAUCAAAGGUGCCACGUACGAAGAAACCUCUAGAGAGAUUACACCGUCCUUUAAAUUCUUCAACGAAAAUAGUCACCGUAUAUCGUGACGUCGAGCGUUCUACAACCUCGAUUCUCACUGUGAUGGUUCAAUGAGAGAUCCUUUUCCACCUUCCUCCGCUUUGCAGGAGUGACAACUUCCAUCAAAAUCUUCCUUCAUGAGAAGGACCCCUGUCUUGGCUGCAUAGCCAAUGAUCAUUUUCGAUUUUCUUACUGCUUGAUACCCAAGCGAACCAUCACACAAGGUAUCAAGCGGUAAGGAAAUCGACAAUGAUCAUUGGCUAUGCAGCCAAGACAGGGGUCCUGCUCAUGAAGGAAGACUUUGAUGGAAGUUGUCACUCCUGCAAAGCGGAAGAAGGUGGAAAAGAAUCUCUCAUGGCCCUUGCAUGAGGAAGUUUGGCUAGCCUUUCUAAGAGUGGAAAAAGCUAAAGGACUACAAUCUUCGAGCUGCGAUAGAUUCCAACAUAAUAAUAAUAAUAUUGAUGUGGUACUUGCUGUUGUUAUACAAUUUAAUUUAUAUUCAGUUUAUGAUGAGUUGUGCCGACGAUGAUGUAACCGAAAAACGUAAGCUACUCGAUGUUUACGUUGGUGCAAGUCGACAUAUUGCCACUCACUACAUCUUUCAUCUUUCUCCAAAGCCAAGCCCUAAAGUGGACUUUAUUUUAUCUUCCUUUUUUUCUGCUUUCGACCAUGAUUAUCGCAUAAGCGAUCCUUAGGGUUUUUUUUUUUCUUAAAAAAAAAUAAAAAAUAAAAAAUAAGCCAAUCGCGGGUCGGCACGUGUCGGUGGACCCCGUAAACAGUGUUAAAACCCCCCAAUUACCGAUCCUUAUUUGGUGAUUUAUAGAAGUGGUUUUUAAAAUUUUUAUGGGACUCACACGUCAUUGGAAUCCACAUUUUGUCAAAAAAACUCUUUAAGGACCUUGGGAUGCUGAUGUUCUUACUUGUAAUAAAAAUGACGCGAACUUGUUAGUGUCCCCCUACAUGGACAUAGGACUCUAAUACAUAAUAGAUUAUUCAUUUUAUCACUAUAUACAUAUAUAUACAUUUCUCAUUUUCUAAUAAUUGAAUAGAUGGAUAAUCAAAAUGGUUUACUAUAUAGGCCAAUAUUAGUUAGUGCCUAUAAUGUUCUGUUGUACGUACCUACACAAACUCCUCUUUUUGCAAUUUGCUUGUCUCAAUCUCUUUUCAAGUAAAAGGAGUAAUUAAGAAACAAAUUCCUAAAAAGAGAGAGAGAAAAAGUAGGUUGUUAGUUUCUACAUGCAAGGUAUUACUAUAAUGUCAUAUUCAUAAUAUUGAAUAUAUCCCAUACAAAAAUAAAGUCUAGAUAAAAAGUAGUUGAUGAGUUACAUGAUAUUUUCCUCUUGAGUUGGAAGAAACGUAUAUGGAAUGAAUUCUACCAAAACAGGGCAAAAAAAUAAAAAUAAAAAUAUGUUCUUGAAAGAUAGUUCCUUUUUAGAUUAGACACAAAAUAAAUAAAAAUGUCUUGUACUCUUAUGCAUUUAGGCGUGUGCACUGCACCCACCCAAAUGUAUGGCCUAAAGCUCUAUAAAUAUAUUUCUACACACAAAGCAUAACCGUAGUUCUCUUUCACACACACAAAACAUAACCUUACUUAUUUUUCUCUCCCUUAAAAAAACGUUCACAAAAUCACAAGCUUAAAUAUUCUCGCUUCAUGGCUGGAGGAGGUAAAAGAAGAGGACUUAGCAAAUCUUGUGCCCUUCUCAUAG